rnacentral:rRNA from 1 species
AUGAACGCUAGCGACAGGCUUAACACAUGCAAGUCGAGGGGCAGCGGGGGUAGCAAUACCCGCCGGCGACCGGCGCACGGGUGAGUAACGCGUAUGCAACUUACCUAUCAGAGGGGGAUAACCCGGCGAAAGUCGGACUAAUACCGCAUGAAGCAGGGAUCCCGCAUGGGAAUAUUUGCUAAAGAUUCAUCGCUGAUAGAUAGGCAUGCGUUCCAUUAGGCAGUUGGCGGGGUAACGGCCCACCAAGCCGACGAUGGAUAGGGGUUCUGAGAGGAAGGUCCCCCACAUUGGUACUGAGACACGGACCAAACUCCUACGGGAGGCAGCAGUGAGGAAUAUUGGUCAAUGGCCGAGAGGCUGAACCAGCCAAGUCGCGUGAGGGAUGAAGGUUCUAUGGAUCGUAAACCUCUUUUAUAAGGGAAUAAAGUGCGGGACGUGUCCCGUUUUGUAUGUACCUUAUGAAUAAGGAUCGGCUAACUCCGUGCCAGCAGCCGCGGUAAUACGGAGGAUCCGAGCGUUAUCCGGAUUUAUUGGGUUUAAAGGGUGCGUAGGCGGCCUUUUAAGUCAGCGGUGAAAGUCUGUGGCUCAACCAUAGAAUUGCCGUUGAAACUGGGGGGCUUGAGUAUGUUUGAGGCAGGCGGAAUGCGUGGUGUAGCGGUGAAAUGCAUAGAUAUCACGCAGAACCCCGAUUGCGAAGGCAGCCUGCCAAGCCAUGACUGACGCUGAUGCACGAAAGCGUGGGGAUCAAACAGGAUUAGAUACCCUGGUAGUCCACGCAGUAAACGAUGAUCACUAGCUGUUUGCGAUACACUGUAAGCGGCACAGCGAAAGCGUUAAGUGAUCCACCUGGGGAGUACGCCGGCAACGGUGAAACUCAAAGGAAUUGACGGGGGCCCGCACAAGCGGAGGAACAUGUGGUUUAAUUCGAUGAUACGCGAGGAACCUUACCCGGGUUUGAACGCAUUCGGACCGAGGUGGAAACACCUUUUCUAGCAAUAGCCGUUUGCGAGGUGCUGCAUGGUUGUCGUCAGCUCGUGCCGUGAGGUGUCGGCUUAAGUGCCAUAACGAGCGCAACCCUUGCCACUAGUUACUAACAGGUAAAGCUGAGGACUCUGGUGGGACUGCCAGCGUAAGCUGCGAGGAAGGCGGGGAUGACGUCAAAUCAGCACGGCCCUUACAUCCGGGGCGACACACGUGUUACAAUGGCGUGGACAAAGGGAAGCCACCUGGCGACAGGGAGCGAAUCCCCAAACCACGUCUCAGUUCGGAUCGGAGUCUGCAACCCGACUCCGUGAAGCUGGAUUCGCUAGUAAUCGCGCAUCAGCCAUGGCGCGGUGAAUACGUUCCCGGGCCUUGUACACACCGCCCGUCAAGCCAUGGGAGCCGGGGGUACCUGAAGUCCGUAACCGCGAGGAUCGGCCUAGGGUAAAACUGGUGACUGGGGCU